GGGAAUGUGGCUUAGCGGUAGAGUGCUUGCUUUGCAUGCAUGAAGCCUGGGUUCAAUUCCUCAGUAUCA
rnacentral:tRNA from 1 species